GGCCUGUUGGUCUAGUGGUAUGAUUCUCGCUUAGGGUGCGAGAGGCCCCGGGUUUUAACUCCCGGACAGGCCC